UCUCUCCCUCUCUCCCUUCUGGAUCCACCGCCGCCGCACACCACUCCUCCUUCUGGAUCCCCCGCCGCUGCCCCCAACCUCACUCCCUCCCUUUGGAUCUCGACGCGCCACCGCCUCCACCCCAUUCCUCCGGCGUUCCUCCCAUACGGUUACUGCUCGGCCCUCCCCAUCGCGCUCUCGAUCCAGAUCCCUCCCCUCCCCAUUCUCAGAUCCAACUGGCCCGAGACGGAGGCCGUCGUGGACAUGGUCGCCACCACCGUCCUCUCCCUCGUCGUCCUCGGCGGCGGCAUCUGGCUGAGCCACCGGGCCGCCACCACCGACUGCGAGCGGUUCCUGGAGCGGCUGGUCAUCGCGUUGGAGGCGCUGCUCGUGGGAUUCGCAGGGCUCGCGAGGUCGCUAUGGCGAAAGGCCUCCUCCCCUGCGCCGCCUCCCUCCGCCCUCGCAUUCCGAUUCAAAUUCGUCCUUGCGGGGCAGAUCUAAUCCGAUCUAGGGCGCCGACCAAGUCCGCGCCCUGCUCCCCCGUCAAGCCGGCGGCGGUGUCCAUGCCGAGGACGCACUCCGACUCCUUCCACGUCACCCACAAGGUCCCCGUCGGCGACACGUCAACAAGCUGCAGGCCUCGCUCCCUCCCUCCCUCCUCGACGGCUCCAGGAACCCUAGAUGGCCAUGGUGAGACUGUAGGAGGCACUGUCCUCCCAUCUCAUCUCCCUUGGUGGUGAAGGAAGGAGGCCAUGGAGACGGAAGCUGCUGCCCUCCCAUCUCAUCUCCCUCCUUGCGUAGUGAAGGAAGGAGGCCAUGGAGAGAGAAGCUACUGGGGAUGCCGAUGCCGAUGCCGAUUCAAGAGGAGGGCCAUGGAAGGUGUUGUUGCUGACACAUUCGGAUGCUUCUUCUAUUAAUCUGCAGGUGCUGUUGUUGGAGUGUAUGUAGGCAUGGAGUAUGGAUUGGAAAGGGUCCGCGGAGAGUAUGACUGGGUCUUUACAGUGGCAUUGGAUGGUCAAUAUUAGGUAAACUGCCUGGUUUGGGAGCACGUUUGGCUGCCUGGAUGAUGAUGCUGCUGCUGUCAAUUUACUCUUGAUCGAUUUUUGCCUUGACAGUCUGGCUUGGUGGCCUUGCGUGCAUCUUCUCCACCAGCGUUCUCUUCCAAAUUCUGGUGUGAGGCGGAGCCUGUGGCUGAGACUGCAUCAGCACAGAUGCUGCAACCCAUCACAACGAGUCCCUCGGCCUCUGUUACGGCCUAUGCAGCAGUAACUCAGGACACCAUUCAUGCCUCGCUGCCACUUCUACAUUUUCUUUCUCUGUUCUAGUUACUUAUGUGAUUUAUUCCUGGUACUUGUUGCUGCUGUAUUCUGAUUACUUGCUGGGACCGGUAUUGAGAGAUUUUGCUGGUUGCUUUGAGUACAUUUAACUUGGAGUUCUCUAGUACUCCUAGAUUUGCUACUCAAACAAAUUUUGAGUACUUACACUGGAAAGGAUUGAAAUACUCCUGGUACUUGCAUAGGUUUAAAAAUGACUUGCGUAGGUUUAAAAAUACUCCUGGUACUUGUGAUGAAACCAACAAGCAACUUGCUAACCUCUUUCAGUGUUCAAUCAUCUUUUCAUUCUUAAUAGUAUCUCCUAUUAGGUGAUCUGAUUAGGAAGUGUAAGCAGUACAAUGAUCUGGUAGGUAAUUGGGCUGCUUAAAUGUUUCCUCUGAUUAGUAAUUUAAUUUACCAAUAGGUACUGGCAGUAAAAGAAACUGACAUCCAAUCAGUCUCAGGGAUUGAAUGAUUUAGUUACCACAUUGUGUUAGUUAGUCUGCUCUUUGUUCCAACAUGAAUGAUAUAUAUUACUUAAUCAUGUGUAAUUUUCUUUCCUUUUGCUAUGUUGUAAGUGGAUGUAUAGUUUUCCAGUUUUUAUCUCUGUUUAGAUGGGUUUUAACCAAAGCUCCUGAGUACUCGCUUGCUUUGUUUUUUUAAGCAACUACAAAUUGUAUGGGCAUUUGAAGUUGUGGCUUAUAAUUGAUCAAUAUUGUUCUGUAAGGUGCAGAUGCUGAUCAGGACAAAGAAGUCAGAGGAAGCAUAGUUCUAACAUUGCUGUCAACUGUCAAGUUUUGCAUUAAUGAUGCCCUUUAUACUGCUCAUUUUUCUUCGUGAAGCAUAGUUCGUAUGUGUGUAUGAUGUAGCAGAACUUGUGAUUGUACACUUGUGGAGCAGAACUGGCUCAUGUGAUUGUACACUUGUGGAGCUUGUUAUAUGAUUGUAAACUUGAUGCUUAUCACAUUUGUAUGUGUGU